rnacentral:rRNA from 1 species
UACGUAGGAGGCGAGCGUUGUCCGGAAUUACUGGGCGUAAAGGGCUCGUAGGCGGCCAACUAAGUCAGACGUGAAAUCCCCAGGCUCAACCUGGGAACUGCGUCUGAUACUGGAUGGCUUGAAUCCGGGAGAGGGAUGCAGAAUUCCAGGUGUAGCGGUGAAAUGCGUAGAUAUCUGGAGGAAUACCGGUGGCGAAGGCGGCAUCCUGGACCGGCAUUGACGCUGAGGAGCGAAAGCCAGGGGAGCAAACGGG